AGGAGGAGGGGGAGGAGGGAGAGAGGAGGGAAGGAGGAGGGGGAGGAGGGAGGGAGGAGGGAAGGCCAGGCCCCAGGAGCCCGAGCAGCCUCAGCCUCACCCACGCAGGCGCCGUCCUCCCGCGCCCAGCCCGCUUGGCACUGGCCGCAGUCUCUGUUGGUGGGACCCGUGCACAUCUUACACGACUCGUCACAGGCUGGAAAGCAGAGGCGGGACGGCCGCCAGUAAGCGUAAAUCCCGCUCUGAGUGACAAGCCCGACACAGAGAUCAUCUCAGAAAUUUACCUGCAGUGGAACGAAAACAAAACCCAGAAACAAAUAAGGAAGAAACCCCCGAAAGCGGCUCUCAGUCAACGACAGAAAAAACCACUCUUGCGAUUCGUGAUCCGGACGUGACCGGAGAAAACAAACGGGGGGGCUCCCUCCUCGACUCCAGGGAAAUAGUUCAGGGCCUGAGCGCUCACCCGGAGCGCCCAGGACACCUCUGAAGACCCAGGGUAUCGUAACGUCAGAGAAACACCAGUGCAGGCGGGACGGGCUUCUCCAGUUGCGGACCUCACCGGGAUUAUCGUGUUAAGGUAAUAAGAGACGCUAACGUGCAGACAAGAGAGAAGACGAGCGUGUGGAAACUCUUGGCGGUCUGAAGUUAUCUCAAAAUUAUAAAUUAAAAAGUAAGAAGCCA